GCUCCGGUAGCCUAGUGGUUAGAGCGUCCGCCUCAGAUGCGAGAGCUCGUUGGUUCGAACCCCGUUUGAGUCA